UACGGAAGGCAGCAGUGGGGAAUAUUGCACAAUGGGCGCAAGCCUGAUGCAGCCAUGCCGCGUGUAUGAAGAAGGCCUUCGGGUUGUAAAGUACUUUCAGUCGUGAGGAAGGUGUUAAGGUUAAUAACCUUAGCAAUUGACGUUAGCGACAGAAGAAGCACCGGCUAACUCCGUGCCAGCAGCCGCGGUAAUACGGAGGGUGCGAGCGUUAAUCGGAAUUACUGGGCGUAAAGGGCACGCAGGCGGUUAAUUAAGUUGGAUGUGAAAUCCCCGGGCUUAACCUGGGAAUGGCAUUCAAGACUGGUUAGCUAGAGUCUUGUAGAGGGGGUAGAAUUCCGAUGUGUAGCGGUGAAAUGCGUAGAGAUGUGGAGGAAUACCGGUGCGAAGGCGGCCCCUGGACAAAGACUGACGCUCAUGUGCGAAAGCGUGGGGAGCAAACAGGAUUAGA
rnacentral:rRNA from 1 species